GUCGUCAUGGGAGACGUAUUUCACCUUCAGUCAAACUAAAUGCGCGCCUGAUACCACCAGAUUUAAGAUUUACCAUGAUAUUCAGCGCUUGUUUGAUUCCUCCUGCCCAAGGUUCUGUUACGAGGCUCCCCAUCCUUGGAAUACAAUCCAAAAGAAAGGUGAGAUUACUAUCUAUACUUAUUGAAGUUACGAGGAAGGGAGCCAGACUAGGUCUCUACUCGGGAAGGAACAACAGGUUCAAAAAAUGGUUCGAUAUUGGAAAAUCUGUAAAAGUUCGACAAUGGAACGCUUUCCACUUCUUUCAUAAGCGAGGUUUAUUCCGCUGUGAAGUGAAUAACAACGGUGAAAAGCAAUUACUCGGCGCGAGACUUGGAGGUGGGACUAGUCAUCGAAAAUUGCACAAUAUAAUUCUCGGUUCAAUAGGAUUAGGGUUUGCAGGGAGGAUGCAGAUUACCAACGUGCUCCUGUUUAACCGAGUGAUUAGUACCAGAGAGAUAGACAAUCACAGAGCGUGGGCCCAAGGCAGACAGUUUCGGAGAUCAAUGGGAGAGAGAACGAGAGUGAAAUAUGGCCUACUUUGUACUGAAGUAGGGAUGACAUUAUCAGAAUGUGCUACGCAAUGCAUCGUAACAACAAGAUGUCGUUCUUUUCACUGGCAAAGGAAAUGCAAACUUUGCAAUAUGAUUCGUUUCAAUGAAAGGGACUUCGCAAGACCUUUUCGAUUGAAAAAGGGUAAAAGUGUACAACUAUCUGUGUAUUUCGCGAAGCGAUAUAGGAAAUGUAUCGACUUUUUAUAGAUCAUGUAGCCUCCUCCGAGUGGGUAUCACUGAAUGGAUUACUUAAGCAAAUGCAGCUUUACCUAUAGGAGGGCAGUAUCACCGUAGAGGGAAACUAUGCUCACACUUAACGGAGAAACCUUUUCACCUGGGGUGGAAACUAUUUUUAGGGGGGCACAAAUACACUGCUCAAUCAGUGCUUCAACCGGAUACAAUUCUGACAGGUGCCCAUUCAUGCACCUGCAUUUCAGGCAGGUCAAACAAAAUGUGCAAAGAAUACCUGUCUAGAGACUCAAGCUGAUUCUGGUGUCAGUACCAAGGCCUUCUGGACGACUAGCUGAGAGAUUCGCGUCACCAGGCCACAGGAAGGACCGUGGCGUGUGACCUAAUCAAUUAACCAGUGUUUUCCAGCAGAUGAUGGCCCUUCCCACAAGUGGCUUCUUGAGAAAUGAGAAUUCCUGCGUAAAGGUUUCUCGCCUGGGCCGAUGAUCACAUCACCAUGACGACGCCGCCCGAGGAAUGAUGAAGAUGAAAUCAGAUGAAAAAAUAGCAUCGCAAAGCGAGCAUAACCCCUCAGCCUAUUAAAGUUGAAGAUGGCUUCAUCCGACCACGUGACCAAUGAGACAUUUGGCUCACCAUUGCGAUGUGACUCAUCUUAUUCAAAAGCCUACCUUGAUUUCGGUUUCACAGCCGAAAUCGGAGGUAGUAAAGGAAAAUUAAUAUCAAGCCCAAGUAAUGGAGGAUCAAAUGACUGAAGUCAGAUGGGAGAACCAGUCCCAUUAAUUCUCUAAUUUUAAUUGAGUCAGUUCAUGACUUGUGGCCAUAUUCAUUUCGUACUUCUUCCCAACGCCGCCUUACCUUGUAAAGAUGAAAAUAUAGGAUUCCCGCAGCGGCCAAUCAUUCAAGAUUUUUAAGUGGUCUCUCUGCUGGUGGCCCCAGUGCCGGAGCACAUCACAACCACCAUUCAAGGUAAACAUUGGCUUUCCAUUUCUUUGAGUGACUGAUUCAUAUGAUCAUUUAGAAGACAGCAAAAAAUUAAAGGGAUGAACAAGAAAAGCCAAUGCUAGGAGCUCAUAUCUCAAUGGACGAUUUAGCGAGAAAGUCUUUAGAAUUGAGCUACUUGGCUGUUGGGGAUAUCUAGAAACC